rnacentral:rRNA from 1 species
GCAAGUCGCACGAGAAAGCUUCCUUCGGGGAGUGAGUAGAGUGGCGCACGGGUGAGUAACGCGUGGGUAAUCUGCCCUCGAGCUCGGAAUAACCCCUCGAAAGGGGGGCUAAUACCGGAUAACACUUCGACUUCCUCGGGAGUUGAAGUCAAAGGUGGCCUCUGAUUUAAGCUACCACUUGGGGAGGAGCCCGCGUCCCAUUAGCUUGUUGGUGGGGUAAUGGCCCACCAAGGCUACGAUGGGUAGCCGGCCUGAGAGGGUGACC